rnacentral:rRNA from 1 species
UUGAACGCUGGCGGCAGGCCUAACACAUGCAAGUCGAACGGUAACAGGAAACAGCUUGCUGUUUCGCUGACGAGUGGCGGCCGGGUGAGUAAUGUCUGGGAAACUGCCUGAUGGAGGGGGAUAACUACUGGAAACGGUAGCUAAUACCGCAUAACGUCGCAAGACCAAAGAGGGGGACCUUCGGGCCUCUUGCCAUCGGAUGUGCCCAGAUGGGAUUAGCUAGUAGGUGGGGUAACGGCUCACCUAGGCGACGAUCCCUAGCUGGUCUGAGAGGAUGACCAGCCACACUGGAACUGAGACACGGUCCAGACUCCUACGGGAGGCAGCAGUGGGGAAUAUUGCACAAUGGGCGCAAGCCUGAUGCAGCCAUGCCGCGUGUAUGAAGAAGGCCUUCGGGUUGUAAAGUACUUUCAGCGGGGAGGAAGGGAGUAAAGUUAAUACCUUUACUCAUUGACGUUACCCGCAGAAGAAGCACCGGCUAACUCCGUG